GAUGAACGCUGGCGGCGUGCCUAAUACAUGCAAGUCGAGCGAACAGACGAGGAGCUUGCUCCUCUGACGUUAGCGGCGGACGGGUGAGUAACACGUGGAUAACCUACCUAUAAGACUGGGAUAACUUCGGGAAACCGGAGCUAAUACCGGAUAAUAUAUUGAACCGCAUGGUUCAAUAGUUAAAGACGGUUUUGCUGUCACUUAUAGAUGGAUCCGCGCCGCAUUAGCUAGUUGGUAAGGUAACGGCUUACCAAGGCAACGAUGCGUAGCCGACCUGAGAGGGUGAUCGGCCACACUGGAACUGAGACACGGUCCAGACUCCUACGGGAGGCAGCAGUAGGGAAUCUUCCGCAAUGGGCGAAAGCCUGACGGAGCAACGCCGCGUGAGUGAUGAAGGUCUUCGGAUCGUAAAACUCUGUUAUUAGGGAAUAACAAAUGUGUAAGUAACUAUGCACGUCUUGACGGUACCUAAUCAGAAAGCCACGGCUAACUACGUG
rnacentral:rRNA from 1 species